rnacentral:misc_RNA from 1 species
GAGAAGAACGUAGCGAAAUGCGAUAAGUAAUGUGAAUUGCAGAAUUCAGUGAAUCAUCGAAUCUUUGAACGCACAUUGCGCCCGCCAGUAUUCUGGCGGGCAUGCCUGUUCGAGCGUCAUUACAACCCUCAGGCCCCCGGGCCUGGCGUUGGGGAUCGGCGGAAGCCCCCUGCGGGCACAACGCCGUCCCCCAAAUACAGUGGCGGUCCCGCCGCAGCUUCCAUUGCGUAGUAGCUAACACCUCGCAACUGGAGAGCGGCGCGGCCACGCCGUAAAACACCCAACUUCUGAAUGUUGACCUCGAAUCAGGUAGGAAUACCCGCUGAACUUAAGCAUAUCAAUAAGCGGAGGA